GGGUUGUGAGGUUAAGCGACUAAGCGUACACGGUGGAUGCCCUGGCAGUCAGAGGCGAUGAAGGGCGUGCUAAUCUGCGAUAAGCGCCGGUAAGGUGAUAUGAACCGUUAUAACCGGCGAUACCCGAAUGGGGAAACCCAGUGUGAUUCGUCACACUAUCAUUAACUGAAUCCAUAGGUUAAUGAGGCGAACCGGGGGAACUGAAACAUCUAAGUACCCCGAGGAAAAGAAAUCAACCGAGAUUCCCCCAGUAGCGGCGAGCGAACGGGGAGGAGCCCAGAGCCUGAAUCAGCAUGUGUGUUAGUGGAAGCGUCUGGAAAGGCGCG
rnacentral:rRNA from 2 species